CCUUUUCUCCUCUCACUCUCCCUCUCUUGUGCACCUCAAUGAACCUUAUUGGUGCACUGUGAGCGACCAUCAUCUGUCCACUGGAUUCCCAUCGUCAGCUUCCAUCCGGAACAUAUGAAUUUGCCCACCUUCUUCCCAAGGAGUUGAACAGAUUGCGGGAGGUGAAAAUGGCACAACGCGUGGUGUUGCUUCUCCUGUGGCUCUUCGAUACAUCAUUUGCGGGAUUUCCUAAUCAGAUUAAUAUCGGGGGGCUCUUCAUGCGCUCCACGGUGCAGGAGCACAGCGCCUUCAGAUUCGCCGUGCAACUCUACAACACCAACCAAAACACCACCGAGAAGCCUUUCCACCUCAACUACAAUGUGGACAACCUGGAGUCCUCUAACAGCUUCUCGGUCACCCACGCGUUUUGCUCCCAGUUCUCCCGCGGAGUCUAUGCCAUCUUUGGAUUCUAUGACAAGAAGUCCAUGAACACUUUGACGUCGUUCUGCGGAGCUCUGCAUACCUCCUUUGUCACACCCAGUUACCCCACCGACAACGAGGUGCAGUUUGUCAUCCAGAUGCGUCCUGCCCUUCGAGGUGCCGUCCUGAGUCUGCUCUCUCACUACAAGUGGCAGAAGUUUGUUUACCUCUACGACACAGACCGAGGAUUCUCCAUACUGCAAGCCAUCAUGGAGGCAGCGGUGGCCAACAACUGGCAGGUGACCGCUCGUUCUGUGAGCAGCACCACGGAUGCGUCCGAGUUCAAGCGCAUCAUCGAGGAGAUGGACAGGAGGCAGGAGAAGCGCUAUGUGAUUGACUGUGAGGUGGACAGGAUCAACACCAUAUUAGAGCAGGUGGUGGCCCUGGGGAAGAACAGCCGCGGUUACCACUACAUUCUGUCUAACCUUGGAUUUUCUAAUGUGAGUUUGGACAAAGUCUUCGCCGGAGGAGCCAACAUUUCAGGGUUUCAGAUAGUCAACCCCGAGAACCCCAUUGUGCAGCAGUUUAUGCAGCGCUGGGAGCGGCUAGAUGAAAGAGAAUUCCCAGAAGCCCGGAACGCUCCUCUGAAGUACACUUCAGCGCUGACCCAUGAUGCUAUUUUGGUGAUAGCUGAGGCCUUCAGGUACCUGCGUCGCCAACGUGUAGACGUCUCCCGUCGUGGCAGCGCUGGAGACUGCCUUGCCAAUCCCGCUGUACCUUGGAGCCAAGGCAUUGAUAUCGAGAGAGCUCUCAAAACGGUUCAAGUGCAGGGGAUGACUGGCAACAUCCAGUUUGACAACUACGGCCGCCGGACCAAUUACACCAUAGAUGUGUACGAGAUGAAAAUAGGCGGGCCGAGGAAGAUCGGGUACUGGAACGAGUUCACACGAUUUGUAAAUAUUAUGGACCCGCAGGUCACCAACGACUCCUCAGUGGAAAACCGAACGAUUGUGGUCACUACUAUUAUGGAAGCUCCUUAUGUGAUGUACAAGAAAAAUUAUAUGCAUCUGGAGGGGAAUGACAGAUAUGAAGGCUACUGCGUCGAUUUAGCGUCUGAGAUUGCCAAACAUGUUGGAAUUAAGUACAAACUGUCUAUAGUAAUGGAUGGGAAGUAUGGAGCCCGAGACCCUGAGACCAAGCAGUGGAACGGGAUGGUGGGUGAACUGGUCUAUGGGAGAGCAGAUAUAGCUGUUGCACCUCUCACUAUUACUCUGGUUCGAGAGGAGGUGAUAGACUUUUCCAAGCCGUUUAUGAGUUUGGGCAUCUCCAUUAUGAUAAAGAAGCCUCAAAAGUCCAAGCCUGGUGUUUUCUCCUUCCUGGAUCCGCUGGCCUAUGAGAUCUGGAUGUGUAUAGUGUUUGCCUAUAUUGGGGUGAGCGUGGUUCUAUUCCUGGUCAGUCGGUUCAGUCCUUACGAGUGGAACCUAGAGGAACAGGACGAGACAAAAGACCCUCAGACACCCCCUGAUCCUCCCAAUGACUUUGGGAUCUUCAAUUCUCUCUGGUUCUCACUGGGCGCCUUCAUGCAGCAGGGCUGUGAUAUCUCCCCAAGGUCUCUGUCGGGGCGUAUUGUUGGUGGGGUGUGGUGGUUCUUCACCCUCAUUAUCAUCUCCUCCUACACAGCCAACUUGGCUGCCUUCUUGACAGUGGAGAGGAUGGUCUCACCUAUAGAGAGCGCAGAAGAUCUGGCCAAGCAGACAGAGAUAGCCUAUGGCACUCUGGACUCAGGUUCCACAAAAGAGUUUUUUAGGCGAUCCAAAAUAGCCGUGUACGAGAAGAUGUGGUCGUACAUGAAAUCCGCUGAACCCUCAGUGUUUGUUAAGACCACACCCGAUGGCGUGGCCCGGGUACGAAAAUCAAAGGGCAAGUUCGCUUUUCUCCUCGAGUCCACCAUGAACGAGUACAUCGAGCAGCGGAAGCCGUGCGACACGAUGAAAGUCGGCGGCAACCUCGACUCCAAAGGCUACGGUGUGGCGACGCCCAAAGGCUCAGCAUUAAGAAAUGCUGUUAACCUGGCAGUUUUAAAACUGAAUGAGCAAGGCCUCUUGGACAAAUUGAAAAACAAAUGGUGGUACGACAAGGGAGAGUGCGGCAGCGGGGGAGGUGACUCCAAGGUCAGCCUCGAUGUCACCGCAAUCGGGUACUACAGUGCAGAGUAAUCGGCAAGGCUGUUAGAGCAACCCAACCAGAACCGAACCAAAUGUCCGUCCUGUGAACAACCUGCUGUUGCCCUUACAGGCGCAGCACUAAAUUGACUGAUAGUCCGACACUUUAACGCUUCAGCUCAAAAAACAAAAGGAGCCCUGCUUAGCAAACAGGAGAUGAGUGACAUCAAGUGCACGUCAAUCAGAAUAGGAGGUGAAGAUACUGCCCUGCAGUUGUGGAAGUUUGAGCUGUUUUUAGUCAUUCUUAAACAUCUGUAGGGCACUUCAUUCCGCUUUUAGGAUUAAGAUAAACUUUUCGCAAUCUUAUAAGCAUUAAAUAUUUUUAGGUGUCUGAUGCUUUUGAAUGAAUUGAACCUGCAGCUGCAGCAGUUAAAUCAGUCGUCAAAAUGGCUCCAUAGAGGCCGUUGGAAAGCAAGGGGAACAGCGGCGUCUUGAGGGGACUAAGCAUUGCACAUUGCAACGUGAGAAGUCUAAUUAACAUUAAAAGGCUUGUGAUUUGUUUUUAAUGGAUCAUGUGAUAAAACACACUGGGUUCGAUUCCACUAUCGAGCUCGUUAAUAACACAGCUUUUUGACCCUUUUGACGAUCACAACCCUCCCCUCUUUUUCUAUGGGUAAAUGAUGAAUGAUUUUCCCAUUAUGGAAGCUAAUGGUGAGUGUUAAGCUCCCUCUCAACCAUGACAAGUAAGUAUAACAUUAGUUGAUGAUGUGCUACUGUGGUAUCGUGCCCCGUAUUCGCCGAAUUACAUAAGACAGCUGCAUUAUAGUCUUUACAUUACAGGUCAAUGUAAAGAUAAAUGAUGCUGUCACCUCAAAUGGGAUGAUAUAGGUCUGGUAAUUGGUUAGAUUAUAUGCAACCUGUAAGAGGCUGUGGACUACAGCUGUGUUAUUAUACCUUCAACGGUUACUUGUCGGGAAUUGGCCUUGACCACAAUUAAGAGUUAAGCGGCAGUGAAUUCGUCUUAAAGACAGUCGUUAUGCUAUGCUAUUCUGGACCGUGUAGAAGUCCGUGGAAAGUCAAUGAGGAUUUGUUGUCAUGGUGCAGGCGCACAUGCCUGAUAUGCUGCAUGGGUGGCUGUGAUUCUUAACACAUGAUAAAGGCAGUCUUGUUUUGAAGAAAUACAAAAAAUUAACUGAUGAAACAUUUUAUAUGUUAAAUUCACCAAUGAUUUGGGCUGUUUUUUGUAUAUUUAAUGUUUAAAAUAGGCUGCACGGUGGAAGAGUGUUUAGCCACACAGCUAGGAGACACAAGUUCGAUUCCACUCUCGGCAUGUUCUCCCCGUGCAUGUGUGGGUUUUCUCCGGGUACUCCGGUUUCCUCCCACAUUCCAAAAACAUGCUAGGUUAAUUAGCGACUCCAAAUUGUCCAUAGGUAUGAAUGUGAGUGUGAAUGGUUGUUUGAAAACGAAAAUAAAUAUGAAAGCAGACUUACACUUCAGAUACUUCAGUGGAACCUUGGUUUUCGUACGCUGCCGUGACCGUAUGAUUUUGUUUUUUUUGUCAAAAAGUUGUGCUAAAAGUUUUGAUAUUUAAUAUUUAAUAUUGCAAUGAAGCGCGCAGACCUCACAGCUAGGAGACCAGGGUUCAAUUCCACCCUCGGCCAUCUCUGUAUGGAGUUUGAAUGUUCUCCCCGUGCAUGCGUGGGUUUUCUCCGGGUACUCCGGUUUCCUCCCACAUUCCAAAAACAUGCUAGGUUAAUUGGCGACUCCAAAUUGUGCAUAGGUAUGAAUGUGAGUGUGAAUGGUUGUUUGAAAACAAAUGAAUGGAUGUUUUAAAUAUGAAAGCAGACUUACACUUCAGAUACUUCAGUGGAACCUUGGUUUUCGUACGCUGCCGUGACCGUGUGAUUUUGUUUUUUUGUCAAAAAGUUGUGCUAAAAGUUUUGAUAUUUAAUAUUUAAUAUUGCAUUGAAGCGCGCAGACCUCACAGCUAGGAGACCAGGGUUCAAUUCCACCCUCGGCCAUGUCUGUGUGUGUUCUCCCCGUGCAUGCGUGGGUUUUUCUCCGGGUACUCCAGUUUCCUCCCAUAUUCCAAAAACAUGCUAGGUUAAUUAGCGACUGCAAAUUGUCCAUAGGUAUGAAUGUGAGUGUGAAUGGUUGUUUGUCUAUAUGUGCCCUGUGAUUGGCUGGCAACCAGUCCAGGGUGUACCCUCGCCUCUCGCCCGAAGACAGCUGGGAUAGGCUCCAGCGCCCCCACGACUCUCGUGAGGAUAAGCGGUAGAAAAUGAAUGAAUUAAUGUUUAUAUAAUUUAGUUUUUUGUCAAAAAGUUGUGCUAAAAGUUUUGAUAAUUAAUAUUGAAUAUUGCAUUGAACAAACUCGUCUGUUUUACAUUCCGCAAAAUCAAGUGUCCAAAGUCCGUUCAUUUUUUCCACUCCACAAAGUGAAAAAAGGCAAAACAAGAAUCACCGCAUUUUUAUGGUACAACCACACGUUUUGUGUAUCCUCAAAUUAUCCUAGCUGAUUCACCCAUUGGCAUUGUUUGCAGUGCAUGCAAGCAAAACAAACAAAAAAAAAUAAAGUGGUGUUCAGAGGUUACUUCUUGCAAAUAAUAGCACUCUGACAAAAGAUGACAAAAAGGUCACUAUAUGAUUAAUGAAGGUAUUUUUGCAUAGUGAAUCAUGCAUAGCAACUCCAGAAGGGCCGGAAAUGAGCAUAAUGGGUCCCUGAGCAGCAUCAUAAAAGUCGGCAGAAAGCAUAGAUUAAAUAUCGUCCUCGUAAGGUUCCCUCUUGAGUCGCAUUUUUUCAAUAUUUGCAUUGGUAAUGUUGCUGUGUUUUGUAGGCGCUUAGCUCAUUAAGUAUCUUUUUUAGCGCGACUGAGAGCAUGCUCAGGAGCCAUCAUACCGUCGUUGGUGUUUUAUAAUACACAGGUAUGUACUCCGUGUUUGUUUGCUGGCCUGUUUAACCUCUUCAGGAGUCAUCGGAGAGACCCGAUUAAGUGUUGCCCGAAGCGCUCUCUUCCAAACACUUCAUUGCUUGCAUCAUGCUUACAGCUCAUGCUUCCAAUACACAUAACACACACAUACACACACACACACACUUCCUUGUCCUCCAGCACAACACAGUACAGCCUAGAUUGAGUUUCAGACACAGAGCAUGUUACAGGGUAAUUGCAUUGUUAAUCAAUGUCUCCAUGAGGCAAAACGAUGCUCGGGUCCUCACAAAGCGUUUCUCAGGAUUGGCUUUGAGGCAUACCGUGGCCUAAUCUUCUCUCCGUGCAUUAUGCAUUCGCAUAGGUCCCCUCGGGGGACAUUUAUCCAGAAGAGAGUACUCAUGUCACUCAUAAAUCGAUGCAGUAUUUUUGCUCGCUUUCAUUUUGCUUUUUAUGUUUCAGUAGGAGAUAGAGCGGAACCACAUGUGAGCUGAACUGAACUGUAUGCAUGAAUGCAAUCAUUUGGUUGUACUGUAUACAUAUACAAGUAGACACAUACACCUCAACUAUUAAAUGAGAGCCAAGACAAGAGCUGUAUUAAAAAUCCACCCAACAGUUUGUUGGGUUUAGUAAUUCUACUGCUUCGGUUUGCUUAGCUAAAGUAUAUUAGAAACCGCUUAUUAUUAUGCUGUGCACUGUGCAGGCGCACAUCCCUGAGAUGUUGAUGUCACACAACGCUGCAUGGGUGGCUGCAAUUCUUAACACAUGAUAAAGGCAUCGAGUCUUUGACUUUGUGGGGAAAGACACCUUUCAUUCUUGUUUUGAAGAAAUACAAAACAUUUAUAUGUUAAAUUCACCAAUUAUUUCGGCUGUUUUUUUGUAUAUUUAAUGUUUAAAAUAGGCUGCACGGUGGUGGAGUGUUUAGCCACACAGCUUGGAGACACGAGUUCGAUUCCACCCGCGGCCAUCUCUGUGUGCAUGUUCUCCCCAUGCAUGCGUGGGACUCCGGCUUCCUCCCACAUUCCAAAAACAUGCUAGGUUAAUUGGCGACUCCAAAUUGUCCAUAGGUAUGAAUGUGAGUGUGAAUGGUUGUUUGAAAACGAAUGAAUGGAUGUUUUAAAUAUGAAAGCAGACUUACACUUCAGAUACUUCAGUGGAACCUUGGUUUUCGUACGCUGCCGUGACCGUAUGAUUUUGUUUUUUUGUCAAAAAGUCGUGCAAAAUUUUUUAUAUUUAAUAUUUAAUAUUGCAUUGAAGCGCACAGACCUCACAGCUAGGAGACCAGGGUUCAAUUCCACCCUCGGCCAUCUCUGUGUGGAGUUUUGCAUGUUCUCCCCUGUGCACUUUUAUGCAGUGCAGUCACUGCUGCAAACUCAACAUAACACUAACACUAACAUUAUAAUAGAUAUAAUAAUUAUAAAAAUUAUAUUAAUAAUAGCUAUACAUACUUUGUAUAACCAGGUACAGAUUAGAUUGUUAUAAGUUUGGCUAAAAUAUGGGGCAUCUUCCAUGACUGUGACUAUGCUUAAUGGUUCUCUUCAGUUAACCACCAAGUCUCUUAGUCACUGGGUGCAUGGUUUUAAGACCACAAAAUGGAAGUACGUGCAUUUGAAGUAUCAUAAGGAGUCGGGAUCCGAUGCAUCAGCCUCCGAUAAGUGAUACCCGUAUCAGCAAAUGCCGAUAAAAGCCUUAAAUGCAGUUAGUUUGGAGCUCAUUUUUGUCCCACGGGCAAGUGGCCAUUAUGUGCAUCAAGUGUCAAUUAUUGGUGGGUCCUUAGGAAUCGUUGAAUUUGCGACACUGGCCAAUCGCAUUCAUCAUGAAUAUAAAUAGGAUAAUGUAUAGUUAAUCCAUGUGAUUGGUAUCGGCUGAUCUCACUCAUGGAUCAUCGGUAUCGGAAUCGACAGCAUUAAACCUUAAUAAGAGCAUCCCUAAUAAGUAGUCAUAAUAAUUUACUGGCUACUGCUGUUUACAAUAAACUCAUCAAUUGUAUCAACUGACAUGAAUAAAUAAAU